UACGUAGGGCGCAAGCGUUGUCCGGAAUUAUUGGGCGUAAAGAGCUCGUAGGCGGUUUGUCGCGUCUGCUGUGAAAACGCAAGGCUUAACCUUGCGCCUGCAGUGGGUACGGGCAGACUAGAGUGCGGUAGGGGAGACUGGAAUUCCUGGUGUAGCGGUGGAAUGCGCAGAUAUCAGGAGGAACACCGAUGGCGAAGGCAGGUCUCUGGGCCACUACUGACGCUGAGAAGCGAAAGCAUGGGGAGCGAACAGGAUUA
rnacentral:rRNA from 1 species